rnacentral:misc_RNA from 1 species
UACUAUUUAUUGAGAGGCGAAUAUGUCAGAAAUUAUAUAAAUUGACAUUUGCAUACAAUAUUGUUUAAAAUUAAAGUAUUUUUGUCCAAUUUAAUUCAGUAUUCUUAACAGAUUUCUUUGUUCGAUAAGUGAAAUUUUCUUGGUCGCCGCAAGAGUGAAGUUCGUUCAAGUGACGUCACAAAAACGAUCAGUCACAGUCAUCGAAACAGAGAAAUGUCGGCGUGUUGUAAGAACAAGUGAUAGUUCUUGUGCUUGGAAAUUGUGGCCCGUGUUCAAAAUUGUAAAUUUACUCUUAUAUACUUUAACAAAUUUUAAUUAUGGCGUCAUCAAGCGUUAAAAGUGAAUUUGUAGUGGGUGGAAAAUAUCGUUUAGUUCGCAAAAUUGGUAGCGGAUCUUUUGGUGACAUUUACUUGGGUAUCAAUAAAACAAAUGGAGAAGAGGUUGCUGUAAAAUUGGAAUCAAUAAGAGCUAGGCAUCCACAAUUGCUGUAUGAAAGCAAGUUGUAUAAAAUUCUAAAUGGUGGUAUUGGUAUCCCACAUAUCAGAUAUUAUGGUCAGGAAAAAGAAUAUAACAUAUUAGUUAUGGACUUGUUGGGGCCAUCACUCGAGGAUCUGUUCAAUUUCUGUUCACGAAGAUUCACAAUCAAAACGGUCCUGAUGUUGGCUGAUCAAAUGAUUGGCCGCAUCGAAUACGUCCACUGUAAAUCGUUCAUUCAUCGGGACAUCAAACCGGACAAUUUCCUUAUGGGCAUCGGUCGUCACUGUAACAAACUCUUCUUAAUUGACUUUGGACUGGCGAAAAAGUUCCGAGACGCCCGGACACGUUGUCACAUUGCGUAUCGUGAAGACAAAAAUCUCACGGGAACCGCUCGCUAUGCCAGCAUCAACGCCCAUCUCGGAAUCGAACAGUCUCGCAGGGACGACAUGGAGAGUCUCGGUUAUGUGCUUAUGUAUUUCAACCGCGGCUCGUUACCCUGGCAAGGGCUUAAGGCUGCAACCAAGAAACAGAAAUACGAAAAAAUCAGCGAAAAGAAAAUGUCCACACCCGUAGAAGUACUAUGCAAAGGAUUUCCAGCAGAAUUUUCGAUGUAUCUCAAUUACUGUCGCGGUCUCAGAUUCGAGGAGGCUCCCGACUACAUGUACCUUAGACAACUGUUCCGUAUAUUGUUCAGGACCCUGAACCACCAAUACGACUACACAUACGACUGGACGAUGCUUAAACAAAAGGCCGCCCAGACGGCCGGCGUCGUGGGAGCGUCUGCUCAACCAUCAACUUCACAAACUAUCACUCAGCAACCCGCUAAAGAUAACGAAAAAGAAAAGAAUCAGAACUCGACGAAGGCUACUGCACAUACAUACAAUCACGGCUCCGUUUGCGAAAUAAAUAAACCUGUUAAAGGUCAUUGAGUUGAUGAACAUCCCGUUGUUACCAAUUCUGUUUUUGUUUUCCUGUAUUUGUACCAUUUUUGAUUAGAGCUACAUAAAUCGAACCAUUGUUAAAAAUUUGUUUUUAUUUUCGUCAACACACUGAUUCUUCUUUCAAAACUUAAUCAAACACAAUUUAUUACUUUUCUUUUAACGUUACUAUACUCUCCAAUACUUUAUUCUAUCGUAAUAUCAAAAUUAAAGUUGUUCGAUAUCUUUGUAUGUAGUUCUGAGCAGUAUAUUCUGGUUGCAUUUUAGUAUUUGGGUGCUUACCAGGGGUGUGAUACCUCAUUGCGAAGUUCAUGAGUAGAGGAUCAGAGAAGUCAAAAUCCGUUGUCAGAAACGUUAGCAUUAUAUCUCAAUAAUUAUUUAUUGGGUAGCAUCAGUUACUAUGAUAAAUAAUUAGUUAGCUCUGACCGUUAUGCCAUUGAGUUGAGGUGAAAGAGUAGGUCAGUAUUGUUAUUCUAGCUUAGUUUAAGCCAUUUGUCAUAGGUAUUAUUAACCUUUUAAGCCUUUCGCGACAUCUUUGCUGUGGUAAGGGACAAAACACAGUUUUGUCUAAUACUUACAAUUAAACCGGUGGAUUCCGUCAUGAGCGACCUUCACACUUGUGUUCCUCUACUCAUGGGCUUUCUAAUGAGGGCCAAUUCAUCGCUGCCCUUAUAGUCUUGUAAAAUUAUGUUUUCUCAGAAGUAAUAUUAUUUAUAAGUGCGAAAAGGUGAAAAUUAGUCAACAUUGUGCCAUUUUUAGUUUGUAGUAAUGUAAGUUACAAAUAAAUAUUGUAACGGUUCAUUCUUUUUAAGAAAGUACUUUACUUUUUAUGAAAGUUCUUUAAUUGCAACAGAAAUUUUCAUUGCAUAAAUACAAAGAAAUCAAACAAUUUUUACUUACAUACAUCAUUACAUGAAACAUUUAUUUAUUUAAUUUAUUUCCUUUACACUUUUUUUUUUUAAUUCGUACAUUUCUUUCGCUUUGCUUUUCAAACCUUAUUUUUAUUUCAGGCCUACCAGUCGUAACAAAAAUUCUGUGAUGUGCAACACCAAGGCUAACUGUUAGUUUUCAUCCUUGCAACAUUAUAGUGUCCAUUACAAAAUCUUAACAUAAUUAAAAAAAUGUUUUCUUUUUAGCAACAUUUUUUUUUUUGGGUGAUUAUCAUAUCUUAUAUAAAUGCUAACUUUUUUGGGACAUAUACACAAUAGACGUGAACAGCAAGUGUGAAAGUUUUAUUUUCCUUUUUAUUUCAAACAUUCAAGAAUGGGUUUUCGUUACGUUUAUUAAUGUUUGAGAAGUUUUUAGUAAGGUACUUUUUCAUCAAGACAUUUGGAAAAUUUUUCUCUGCGUUCUUACAAGUUAAUUUUCACUAAGCUGACUAUAUAUAAGGACGAAGAAAAAUUAAUGAAAAAGGAAAUGGUACAACUAAUAUUCUAGCUAUCCUAGUUAAAUUUAGGACAUCGUACCCUUCUUAAUGUUUUCAUCAAUAUUUUGUCAUGGUUGCGCUCUUAGUAAAAAAUGACUAGAGUAGCAAAAAUUUGGCGAUUUUUCGUAAAAUAUCUCAAACUACCCAAAUUUAGGAAUCUAGGAAAGACAUGAAUGUUAAUACAAUUAAAAAAAGUUGUUGAAAACUUUAAGUAGAUACGCUUUUAAAAGGGCUAGCUAACAUUUUAGUUGCACUCAUUUCAUUUUUCAUCAAUUUUCAGAGUAAUUUUCUUACAUUUGCUGUUCAUAUUAAAAAUAAAGUACAAAAGAAUGUAGGUAUACUGAACGAUGUAUAUAGACAUUCUUUUAAAGGAAAAUAGUUACUAAUCUGCUAAUAUUUCAAUUAUGAGGGAUGAAAACUAAUUGGAUUGUUGCAUGGUGGGUUUAAUUAUAUGUUAAAAAAAGCAAUCGCUAACCAUUUCAUCUUUUCCACCAGUCAUACCGACAUCACCGACUGGAUCGAACCAACAACAUUUUAACAGUUGGUUAAAUUUUUUCUUGUGACGUUUGUCCUCAUUUUGAAAACAAAAUAUAUAUAUAAAUAUUGUAAUAAUCAUUAGGGAAUACAAUACUAAUUUCUUUUUCUUUUUGUUCCAUAAUGAUGGUCUGUUUACGCACGUCAACAAAAAAUGACGAACUUAUUAAGUACAUGUAAUAACAAGCAAAACAAAUUGAAAAAUGAAUUAUUACUAUAAUAAUAAUAUUAAUAAUGAUUACUAAUUUCUAGGGAUGGGAGUGUUUAUGGGUGUGAGAGUGUAUAAGUGUUGACGAAUUUGUGUGUGUAUUUGAAUCGGUAUCAGCAACUUUUCGGGAGCGAAUGUCAUGAGUGAUUUGCAAGUCUGGCUGUCAAUAUUUAAUAAGUAUAGUAGUAACUUAAGUGAUAUGUAUGUUUUGUUUGAAGUACUUGUAAACGUUAUAAAUAUUAGAUGCUAAUUCGGAUGUGGAAUUUCCUCACUAACCUACAAAGAACCAAAGGUUUCAAGUGCUACAUUGUAAAAAGACUGUGAUCAUCCCUUUUAUGGAAUUUUUUAUAAUGUAGUAGCACUGCCCUUUUAACGACAAAAAUGAGGAUACUGUCAUACAUUAUAAGGGCUGAUAAUAAAAUUAAAAAAAGAAAAAUAGCGUUGCACUUCUCUCGUGAACAUUUAUUAUCAUAUUAUCAAAUAUUCGGGAGGUAGUAUUUGCAACAUAAGAAAUAAAGAAAGCCCUUCAAGAACACUCACAGUUAUUUCAACUUGAUUCAGUGACCGAAAUUGAAAAAUGUAUUAAUCUUAUAGAAUUAAAAAAAAAAGUCUUGUCAAAUUAAUUUAACGAUACUUGUUUUUAUACUGGAACUAAUAACGUUUCGGUGAUCUUUUAUUAGGUAGCUGAAAGUAAAUAAUUACAAUUUUAAAAUUAAUAUGUCAUAAAUGAUUCGUUAUAGGUGAAAGGUUUGAUUUAUAGAAAAGAAAUCGUCAGCUUCAUAAUGCAUAUGAUUGUGAUAUUUUUUACAUCGCAUCUAUCGUUUCGUAUUCUUUUUGUCUAACGAUAUUUAGGUAGAAUUUUAUUUUAUAUUUACUUUAAAAAAAUGUCAUUCUUAACUUAUUCCCGUAUCGGUGCGAAAUGUCGGCCAUAUACUGAGAUUUUAUUAAAUAAUUUGAUUGUUAGUAGUACUUGGACAUCAGUGCAGUCAAAAAAGAAAUAACAUAUUGUAUAUAAAAAUUUGUACAGAUAAUGUGAGCAUUUUUUCGUAUUAUUCCAAUAAAGAUACUAUUUGGUAUUUUUUUUAAAGAGGUACUGAAUAUAUUAUCAAAACUAACACUAUGGCACUUUAUACUAAUAAUGUUUAAUUACUAAUAUGUAAAUAAUUUAGUAUCAAAUUUAUGCGACAAUUCUAUUAAAUUAAUUGCUUCUCUUGCAAGCUCUUUGACAAGUUGAAAUAAAUGUUGGAAUGUGGUGAAAUUUUCAAACGAAAAUAAACAACAAAUGUACAAAGUAACUGUCUGAUUGAAAGGUAUUUGUCUCUUUUUAACUUGGGGUUUGUCCUAAACGGAUAACGUUAUUUUUUCUAUUGUAAGAUUUGGUGAUAAUAUAUAGCGAUGUGUUUUAUGUUUAACUAAAUAAAUACUGGUCUCGUAUAUAUAUUUUAACGGAUAAUGAUAAUAAUUUAAAGGUGUUUCGUUCAAUCGAAUUUAAAACGAUUGUACGAUUUACCCUGUAUACGGUUAAUUUAGUUCGCUUUAAUUGCCCAUCAACAUAUAAAAGUGAACUGCAACAUACGAAAAGAAAUCAUUUGACAACUGUUUUUAGUUCAUUACUAAAAUAACAAAAAAGUUAGUUGCAUGUUUGUAAAUUGUUUUACAAAUAAUGUAAAAUAAUAUUUCUUCCUGUAGCUGCAGAAUGUUGAGGUACUGCCAUGGACGUGGCGCUGCUCGUGACCAGCGUCCGCGUCUCUCUUUCCUUAAAACCUACCGUUGGCCAAUAUGUAAAAGAUUAUUUUUUAGUUUCUUUUGUAUGUUUAGUGGUUAUUACAAUAGUUUAAGGCUUUCGCCUAUUAUAAUAAGUUUGAUAACAGAAUUCAAUUUGUAAAGGAACUGUUAAAACUUAAACAAGAAUAAAUUCUAAAAGUACA